rnacentral:tRNA from 1 species
GCCUUUUGAGUAUGUGUAGUAUAGUUGCCUUCCAAGCAGCAGGAUUAAUAAAUUUAAAAAAGGUA